GUGGGGAAUAUUGGACAAUGGGGGGAACCCUGAUCCAGCCAUGCCGCGUGUGUGAAGAAGGCCUUUUGGUUGUAAAGCACUUUAAGCGAGGAGGAGGCUACCGAGAUUAAUACUCUUGGAUAGUGGACGUUACUCGCAGAAUAAGCACCGGCUAACUCUGUGCCAGCAGCCGCGGUGAUACAGAGGGUGCGAGCGUUAAUCGGAUUUACUGGGCGUAAAGCGUGCGUAGGCGGCUGAUUAAGUCGGAUGUGAAAUCCCUGAGCUUAACUUAGGAAUUGCAUUCGAUACUGGUCAGCUAGAGUAUGGGAGAGGAUGGUAGAAUUCCAGGUGUAGCGGUGAAAUGCGUAGAGAUCUGGAGGAAUACCGAUGGCGAAGGCAGCCAUCUGGCCUAAUACUGACGCUGAGGUACGAAAGCAUGGGGAGCAAACAGGAUUAGAUACCCGUGUAGUCC
rnacentral:rRNA from 1 species